UACGUAGGUGGCAAGCGUUGUCCGGAUUUAUUGGGUUUAAAGGGUGCGUAGGCGGCCCUGUAAGUCAGUGCUGAAAUAUCCCAGCUUAACUGGGAGGGUGGCAUUGAUACUGCGGGGCUAGAGUACAGAUGAGGUAGGCGGAAUUGACGGUGUAGCGGUGAAAUGCUUAGAUAUCGUCAAGAACACCUAUCGCGAAGGCAGCUUACUAGGCUGUAACUGACGCUGAGGCACGAAAGUGUGGGGAUCAAACAGG
rnacentral:rRNA from 1 species